GCUUAUCACAGCAGAAUUUGUAACAUGCCGUAAUUUCUUAACCGGUGUGUGAGUGUGUGUGUGUAAGUGUGUGUGUGUAGCCCCGUAAAUCAAAUGUCAUUACCCAACGCGGCUAAUUUGGCGAUCAUUCCUGCUCUUUUGCUUUUUGACAAUGCCAGCGGCGGGGACCAGCCGCACCUUUACGAUCGGAUCCUCGCCGUCGCUGCUUGCUGGCACUGAAGAAGCCUGCUAGGGUUGCCCGCUUGAUGCUAUAGCUCGCAGAGACUGCAGUUGUCGUUGAUCCGCUGCCAGAGUCUCCACUGGAAAGUAAAGGAAUAAAUACGCCAAGAUGAUGUGCGAGGUGAUGCCCACCAUCAGCGAGGACACGGCGCUGAACCAGCGCGGCUCUCAGAGCAGUUCCUCGGACCCGGACUCCCACUUUGAGCAGCUGAUGGUCAACAUGCUGGACGAGAGGGACCGGCUGCUGGACACGCUGAGGGAGACCCAGGAGAGCCUCGGCCUGGCCCAGCAGCACCUUCAGGAUGUCAUCUACGACCGCGACUCUCUGCAGCGCCAGCUCACCUCCGCCCUGCCACAGGAGUUUGCUGCGCUGACCAAGGAGCUGAACGCCUGCAGGGAGCAGCUGCUGGAGAAGGAGGAGGAGAUCUCUGAGCUCAAAGCCGAGAGGAACAACACCAGGCUACUGCUGGAGCAUCUGGAGUGCCUGGUGUCAAGACACGAGCGGUCUCUUCGCAUGACGGUGGUCAAGCGGCAGGCUCAGUCUCCCUCAGGAGUCUCCAGUGAAGUCGAGGUCCUCAAAGCACUCAAGUCCUUGUUCGAACACCAUAAAGCCCUAGAUGAGAAGGUAAGAGAGAGACUACGGGUGUCACUCGAGAGGGUGUCUGCCUUGGAGGAGGAGCUCACAGCAGCCAAUCAGGAGAUUGUGGCCUUACGGGAACAAAAUGCUCACAUUCAGAGAAAAGUGGCUUCCGGGGACGGAGGAGAGGACAUACUGGAGGGCAGUGAAGCUCAACAGAAGGUCCAUGGCAAGCGCCUGUCCAACGGCUCUCUGGAGUCGGCCCACGAGGCGAGCCAGGUGGUGGAGCUGCAGGACCUGCUGGAGAAGCAGAACUACGAGCUGGCCCAGAUGAAGGAGCGCAUGUCCUCCCUCUCCUCCCGGGUCUCCGAGGUGGAGCAGGAGCUGGAGACAGCCCGGAAGGACCUCAUCAAGUCGGAGGAGAUGAACAACAAGUACCAGAGGGACUUCAAAGAGGCCAUGUGUCAGAAAGAGGACAUGGAGGAGCGGAUCGUAACAUUGGAAAAACGCUACCUGAGCGCCCAACGAGAGUCCACCUCGGUGCACGACAUCAAUGACAAACUGGAGAACGAGUUGGCCAAUAAGGAGGCGUUCCUCAGACAGAUGGAGGAGAAGAACAGGCAGCUACAGGAGAGGCUGGAGCUUGCAGAGCAGAAGCUCCAGCAGACCAUGAGGAAGGCGGAGACGCUGCCGGAGGUAGAAGCUGAACUGGCCCAGAGGAUAGCAGCCCUCACCAAGGCGGAAGAGCGUCACGGGAGCAUUGAGGAGCGAAUGAGGCACUUGGAAUGCCAGCUGGAGGAGAAGAACCAGGAGCUGCUACGGGCUCGUCAGAGAGAAAAGAUGAAUGAGGAGCACAACAAGAGACUGUCGGACACGGUGGACAGACUCCUCACAGAGUCCAACGAGCGUCUACAGCUCCACCUGAAGGAGAGAAUGGCAGCUCUAGAAGAGAAGAAUUUGUUAAUCCAAGAUUCGGAAGGUUACAGAAAACAGUACGAAGAUUCAAUCCAUGAAAAAACACAUCUGGCAGAGGAGAUUGAGAAACUGAGAUCAGAGCUGGACCAAUUCAGAUUGAGGGCAGGCUCCCUCACAGAACCCACCCUGUCACGGUCUCAUCUGGACACAUCAGCUGAGCUCCGAUUCUCGUUGGGAUCUCUGGCUGAAACCCAGUCGGACCACUACCGCUCAGCCAAAGUCAUCCGGCGGCCAAGGAGAGGUCGUAUGGGUCUGCGUGAAACCAAGGCUAAGUCACUGGGGGAACACGAAUGGCGCUCACAGCAACUCGGGGUUCUGGGAGGCCAUCACUUUGAGAGCGACACGGAGAUGUCCGACAUCGAUGAUGAUGACAGGGAAACGAUGUUCAGCUCCAUGGACAUGCUCUCACCCAGCGGCCACUCCGAUGCACAAACUCUGGCCAUGAUGCUGCAGGAGCAGCUGGACGCAAUCAACAAGGAGAUUCGGCUGAUCCAGGAGGAGAAGGAGUCGACGGAGCUGAGGGCGGAGGAGAUUGAAAACCGGGUGGCCAGCGUCAGCCUCGAGGGCCUCAACCUGGCUCGAAUGCACCACCACGGAGCCUCCAUCACUGCCUCAGCCACCGCCUCCUCCUUGGCCUCCUCCUCCCCGCCCAGCGGACACUCCACCCCCAAACUCGAUCCUCGAAGCCCCGCCCGUGAUAUGGAACGCAUGGGGGUCAUGACACUGCCCAGUGAUCUGAGGAAACACAGGAGAAAGAUUGCAGCGGUGGACGAGGACGGCCGCGAGGACAAGGCCACCAUCAAGUGCGAGACAUCCCCCCCGCCAACGCCGCGCACUGUCCGAAUGACACACACACUGCCAGCCUCCUCGCACAAUGACGCACGAGGGAUCGUGUCCUCUCUGGAGGCUGAGGCCAGUGCACUGAGUAGUGUAGCCAGCAGCCAAGACUCCCUCCACAAGCAGCCGAAGAAAAAGGGCAUCAAAUCCUCUAUCGGACGGCUUUUUGGCAAGAAGGAGAAGGGCAGAAUGGCACAUCUGGCACACAGACAUGUCAUGGUAGAUCCACAAGCGACCAUGAUGGACCCAGACAUGGCAGGCCAGGACAUGGGGGUGGGCAAGCUGGGAACUCAGGCUGAGAAGGACCGCAGGUUGAAAAAGAACGGACACGAGCUAUUGGAGGAGGCCAGGAGAAAGGGUUUACCUUUCGCCCAAUGGGAUGGCCCUACAGUUGUAGCCUGGCUGGAGCUGUGGUUGGGAAUGCCGGCCUGGUACGUGGCGGCGUGUCGCGCCAACGUGAAGAGCGGAGCCAUCAUGUCGGCCCUCUCUGACACCGAGAUCCAGAGGGAGAUCGGUAUCAGUAACCCUCUGCACCGCCUCAAACUUCGCCUGGCCAUCCAGGAAAUGGUCUCCCUCACCAGCCCCUCUGCACCGCCCACCUCCAGAACCCCUUCAGGCAAUGUAUGGCUGACCCAUGAGGAGAUGGAGACCAUGGCAGCCCCUUCCAAAACGAAGUCCGAUUCAGAAGAGGGCAGCUGGGCACAGACUCUAGCUUAUGGCGACAUGAACCAUGAGUGGAUAGGGAACGAGUGGCUGCCCAGUCUAGGACUACCUCAGUACCGCAGCUACUUCAUGGAGUGCCUGGUGGACGCGCGCAUGCUGGACCACCUAACCAAGAAGGACCUUAGGGUGCAUCUCAAAAUGGUGGACAGCUUCCACAGAACAAGUUUACAGUAUGGAAUCAUGGGUCUGAAGAAGCUCAACUAUGACAGGAAGGAACUGGAGAGACGCAGGGAGCAUAGCCAGCAUGAAAUGAGAGAUGUACUGGUGUGGAGUAAUGAGCGAGUCAUCCGCUGGGUGCAGAGCAUAGGCCUGAGAGACUACGCCAACAUCCUGCUAGAGAGCGGUGUGCAUGGAGCUCUGGUCGCCUUGGAUGACAACUUUGACUAUAGCAGUUUGGCGCUACUCCUCCAGAUCCCCAACCAAAACACUCAGGCACGUCAGAUUCUGGAGCGAGAGUACAAUAAUAUGCUGGCGCUGGGCACCGACAGGAGACUGGAUGAGUGUGAAGACAAAGACUUCCGAGGUCCAUCGUGGAGGAGGCAGUUCCCGCCCAGAGACGUUCACGGUAUAAGUAUGAUGCCCGGAUCAGCGGAGACGCUCCCUGCUGGAUUCCGUCUCACCGCCACGUCUGGUCACUCCCGAAGACUGCCCCCUGAGGUCCUCUAUGAGGCGCUGGAUGACAGUCCUGACGACAUGUAUUUGGAUUGGUUUCAAGUUGGACCGUCUGCAGUGCAGCGGCUGGACAGCUCCACGGUGAGAACCUAUUCCUGCUGAGAGGAGGAAGAGAGGGACCUUAAACUGUACGCUUGACAACCUGAUGCAAAUGCAAGCGGCAAAGAGAACACUGAAUUCUGCUCUGGAUGCAUUGUUUAGCACGAAAAGCCCAGGAAGACAGCUGACCGCUAUGUACAAAAUUACUUCCUCAUUCUCAACUCCCUUUAUAACAGCACCCUGCAGGCUGUUUCUAAGGAUUUCAUCAGCACUCCCACACAGCAAAAGAAAAGAAGACAGAAUACAGUGCAAAGAUCAGUGAGAGCAAAGGGUUCAAUUCUGUAUAUGUGCACAGGAAACAAAAACUGAUGGUAUGACUAUUUUCUGCACACAGAAUAUCUCACCUUUAGCUGCUGAAAGUAUUCAUCUUUUUUCCACUGCUUUAAGCUAUCAACACCACAAACGAAUACAGCGCACGAUUUGCAUAGAGGCACCCAGAAAAAAACACCUUUGCGACUUUAUCACUUCCUCCAUUUCAGACUCUGCUUUUUAAGAUUCUUUGCAAAACAUUCACACAGAAGAUACUUGGAUAUUUAGAAAAGCACAGCUCCUAAGGACUGAACUUUACAAUCACUGAGUAUUUCUGUAAAUAUGUGAUCCAUCUUGUUUAGAGAAUGCUGAAAAAUGAAGGUCAAAAGUUCACAUUUCAUACUGCUCUAAAGAACUAAAUUAGCAGUAUAUAUGGUUAACGAUUACUUUGCUGUUUCCAAAGUCACCUUCCAAGCUGCAACCAGUAUGGCACAAAUUUGACCGAUUCCAAUUACAUUCUUGGCAUGUUAUAAUUUAGGUUUUUCCAUAUUUUCUUUAGAAACCUUGUCAACUUUACAGUACCCCUAUUGAAAACUUCUCAUUCUGCUUCCCUUCAGGUACAGUUCUGAAUGGAGAUUAACUAGCGGAGCUGGUGGACAGGCCAACCGGCCGAGGAACAAACCAUUCUGACGACACGCACUGCCAAGAAGCCCUCCUCUCCUCUCUGACCCCCUUCCCCGACCUACUUCUCCUCCUUAUGUGGGCACCAGAUGCCGGUGCUAAACUGUCCUGCAGGCUGCCCCGUUGUCAGCAUAACGUACUGUGUAUUUCUUCUACAGGAGAUGUGUGGGUUAUCUGUAAAUAAAUGCCAUUUUUUAAAUAUAAAUAUAUAUACACACACACAUGUAUAAAAAAAAAAAAGAUAUUCAGAGUUUGUGCAAAAAACAUCCCUGCCACCUCAUUUAGUGGACCAUAGAUUAAUAUAUGCUGCUCUUAAAACUGUCUCCAUAUUACCCUGUCCUCUCUAGAUCAUUUUGUACAUAUGGUUUUAUUUUUUCAUUGUGCUAAUGAUGACGAUGAACCUGUGCUGCACCAUCAAGAGAGAAAGACACUGGAUGUGGUGUGAAAACCUGCCCUCUAGUGGUGACAAAAAACACUCUGAGCCCCAUUUCUGGCACCAACAAACUUCCUUUCUUAUGGACUCGCUGUCCUAAAGGAGCAUUUUAAGAGGACAUGUCAAUGCACUGGAAUGACAUGACAAGCACUUUGAUACAACCGCAUCAACUCAACAGACUAUUUAGUAGCCAAGGACAAAACAAGAGGCGCCAUUGCUCUCCGAAGUUGCACAAAAACCUCUUCUCAGAGAACAAAAAAGCAGAACGUCAUUCAUAGAAGCUGUCACUUGUUGUACUGUAUGUUUUGUCAGGCGAUACAUUAACACAAAGGACAACUACACACUCAGCCAAGCUGGCCUUCUCCCCCACCCCUCAGACACUACUUUAACAAAACAAAAGGAAAUAACUAAAAGACAGACUGCUUUAGCUCAUAGUGUGCGUAGAGUGUAUGUGACCAUGUUGAAGUGAGGUGACAUUUAAUGACAAACCUGUUGCUUGCUGUGACUUACAUGAGUGUAACUGUUAACUCUUUGUUUAUGUCAGCGUUUCCAGGGUAACCUAUUGUACAGCCCUGUUAUCUGUCUUUUACUUAUUUCUGAUGGACGACUCAAGUCUUACCCUUUUUAAUUUGUUUUUACAUCUUCAAUUUGCACGAACAAUGAAUCAUUUUAUUUUGUGUCCAUUUUUUUAUUUAUUACUUCUUGUACUUCGGUCAAAACUAAGUGGUGAGCAAGCAAAUUUUCAUUGUCAAUAAAAAAAAAGAAAACUACUGUCAGUAAA